rnacentral:rRNA from 1 species
UAUUCCAGCUGUUCUUACUGACCAGCCUUGAUCUCAUCAGAUCUUGGAAGCUAAGUAAGGCUGGGCCUGGCUUUCUUGGACGGGAGACCACUGGGAAUAUCAGGUGCCUCAGUGG